rnacentral:rRNA from 1 species
AGUGAACGCUGGCGGUAGGCCUAACACAUGCAAGUCGAACGGCAGCACAGUAAGAGCUUGCUCUUACGGGUGGCGAGUGGCGGACGGGUGAGGAAUACAUCGGAACCUACUUUUUCGUGGGGGAUAACGUAGGGAAACUUACGCUAAUACCGCAUACGACCUACGGGUGAAAGCAGGGGAUCUUCGGACCUUGCGCGAUUGAAUGAGCCGAUGUCGGAUUAGCUAGUUGGCGGGGUGAAGGCCCACCAAGGCGACGAUCCGUAGCUGGUCUGAGAGGAUGAUCAGCCACACUGGAACUGAGACACGGUCCAGACUCCUACGGGAGGCAGCAGUGGGGAAUAUUGGACAAUGGGCGCAAGCCUGAUCCAGCCAUACCGCGUGGGUGAAGAAGGCCUUCGGGUUGUAAAGCCCUUUUGUUGGGAAAGAAAAGCAGCAGGUUAAUACCCCGCUGUUCUGACGGUACCCAAAGAAUAAGCACCGGCUAACUUCGUG